GAAUUUUAUAUAAAUUUGUUAUUAAAUUUAGUAAAAUAAUAUUAAUAAGUUUAUAUUUUAUUGGGAGGAUAAUUAAAUUAUGAAAACUUUAAUAAAUAGGUAAGUCAUUAAUGAAUGAGUUAAUAUAGAAAGAAUGAGUAGUAAAUUUAAGUAGAAUUAAUUACCUUAGGGAUAACAGCGUAAUAUUUUUGGAGAGAUCUUAUUAAUAAAAAUGAUUGC
rnacentral:rRNA from 1 species